rnacentral:rRNA from 1 species
UACGUACCGUCCAAACGUUAUUCGGAAUUACUGGGCUUAAAGGGUUUGUAGGCGGCGCUGUUAGUCGGGUGUAAAAUCCCACGGCUCAACCGUGGAACUGCGCCCGAUACUGCAGUGCUUGAGGGAGACAGAGGUAAGCGGAACUGAUGGUGGAGCGGUGAAAUGCGUUGAUAUCAUCAGGAACACCGGUGGCGAAAGCGGCUUACUGGGUCUCUUCUGACGCUGAGAAACGAAAGCCAGGGUAGCGAAGGGG